AAGUAAUUAGCUCAAUUGGUAGAGCGUCUCGCUUACAACGAGAAAGUUAGCGAUUCGAAUUCGUUAUUACUUA
rnacentral:tRNA from 1 species